AUAAAGUUUAAAUUUGGUUUUAAAAAAUAAUAAAUGAUUUUAUUAUAUGUAAUAUUUUUUAUUUAAAUAAUAAGAAAGCAGUAAUUAAUAUUAAAUUUAUAAGAAAUUAUGAUUUAGAAAUUUAUUUUAAAAUUAACAUAAUUUGUGCCAGCAGUUGCGGUUAUACAAAUAAUUUAAUUAUUUUAUUUUAGUUAAUAAUAAAUAAAAAUUAUUUAUAUUUAUAAAUUAAAUUUAUUAGGUGAAAUUUUAAAUUUUUUAUAUAAUAUAUAAAUUAAUAUAUGAAUUGUGAAAUUUUUAUAUAAACUAGGAUUAGAUACCCUAUUAUUAAAAAUGUAAAUUAAAAUUACUAAAUUAGUAUUAGUUAUGUUCUUAAAAGUUAAAAAUUAUGGCGGUAUUUUAGUCUAUUUAGAGGAACCUGUUCAUUAAUUGAUAAUCCACAAUUUAUUUUACUUAUAAUUUAAAAUUUGUAUAUCGUCGUAAAAGAAUAUUUUAAAAGAAUAAUAUUUAAUAUUUAAAAUUAAAAUAUAAAUCAGAUCAAGGUGCAGUUUAUAUAUAAGUUGAAAUGGGUUACUAUAAAUUUAUUUAUGGAUAAUUAAUUGAAAAUUAAUUUGAAAUUGGAUUUAAAAGUAAUAAAAUUAAAUUUAAUUUUAUGAUUUAAGCUCUGAAAUAUGUACAUAUUGCCCGUCGCUUUCGUAUAAAAUGAAAUAAGUCGUAACAAAGUAGAUUUACUGGAAAGUGAAUCUAGAAUGAU
rnacentral:ncRNA from 1 species